ensembl:lncRNA
CUACUAAAGUUUGAGAAACAGAGUGUAGAUAAUAGGAAUUUGGGUUCUAUAGUCAGGCUUCCUUUUUGAGCAGGCAGCUUAAGCUCACUGCACCUGGUUUUCACAUCUGUAGAGUGGGAAUAACGAUAAUACUUAGAUUAUAAAGUUAGAGUAAUCCAUAUUGGCUAUUCUGUGCUGCUGGAGCUGGAUCAGGGAGUUGACCCUGAGUUAUAGUGGGAGAAGCUGAGGUUCAAAUGCCAGGAGAGCAUGGAUGAAGACAGGUGGGGCUAACAGGAUGAAAUUCCAAGGGACCAAAGUCUGGAUAACUUCUUCCCCUGAGGCAGUAGAAGAAUCUGCUGAUGGAGAGACGGCAGAAUUGGAACCACAGGAGAGGGGUAUUUAUGACAAUCCACAGAGCAGAGCCCUCACCUUGUGGAGCAUGGUGGUCAACCUCAGUGGCCAGUGGAUGCCAGAUCUCUGUGAUGGGGACAUUGCCUUGAGUGGAUGGGCUCAUCAGGCACUGCAGAAACAAAUGUUAGGGGAUGCUUGGUGCUUCCUACAUGAAUCCUUCGCUUUGUGGUAAUUACGGUUGCUACCUGGAGAAAGAGUAUAGAACACGAGUGUUGGAUUUUUUCCUCCAUGAUUUAAUUCCCUCAAUUUUAUUUGGCAAAUAUGAAGAGACAAUUUUGUUUAUGCCUAUAGUUGGGAGAAUGCAGUGGAACUUUAAGUGUCUUUGGUGGCAAAAUCUUAUAAGGUCACAAAAUGACUAUGUUACUCCAUUCUUGAAAGUUGGUACGUGCACAUGAGGUUUUUGUGUGUCCGUGGCUGCUCUAAAUCUUUCUUGAGUAUAUUUCUAAGUGUCUCUUAUUCUGUUUCUCUCCCUCUCUUCCUCCUUGUCCCUGUUUUUGUCUCUGUCUCUUGAUUUUCUGUCUUUCUAAACACUUGCUCUGUCUCUUUAUUUACAUUAAAAUCAAACUGCCAUACAUAUUUUACUAAUUAUAUUUAUUAUAAACCAUUUGUAUUUUUUGCUCUUAAUCUAAAAAUCAAAUAAAUAGUGCAUUAUGUAAUUAUAUUUCUUGAAACACCCCAAAUUAUGAGUAAGUUUUUUUCUUACAUUGCUUAUGUCAACCGAUUAUUUUUCUGUGGAUAGUGGCACUCAAUAUUAAAAAAUGUCCUCUCCACUGGGUGAAAUCCUGGAUAUGAUGCUUUUAAGGGCUGUUUUAUCUUUCCAGUCAUCUUGAACUUGAGUAAAUGGGGAAAGAGGAAUGAAGUUUGUCUCUACCUGCUCAUAAGCCCUCAGAGGGCUUUCCUGCCUCUGUUUAGAGACAGGAUCCUAGCUGGAAUGGAAACCCUGAUGACAGUCAGCUUUGACCUCAGUGGCCUUUUCUACAAACCGAUCAGCAGAUUCUCUGUGGCUGCUCCCUAACCUCUUUCUCAAGCCACCCAUGUAUGGAGCAGAGUCUCACCACUCCUACCUGGCCCCACUUCCACCUGGGAAAAGGCAAAGUGUGAAAUACUGUGAUUCCUCUGCCCAUGAUGAAUCUGCCUAGUUUUCUAUCUUUUCUGCCUCGUGAACUCCAUCAACCUUGAAUCCCUGGCUCCAGCUGGGAGCCCUAACUCUAAUUUCUAAAUUAGCAAUUAUAAUGUAAUUUCUAAACCCUAUAUGCCACACAAGCAUGGCAGCGACUGCUACUGUCCACCAAGAGUCAUUCUCUUCAUUUCUCAGCCUCACUCACAGAUAUGUGUGUCCAUGUGAGUGAAUUCUAGCCAGUGGAAUAUGAGUGGGUAUGACGUAGAUCACUUUGAGCUGGCCACAGCCUUCCAUGUUUGCUCCUACAUUCUUUCUGUAUUCUGCCCAACUGGAAUGGCAAUGUCCAGGAUGACCAGGAUGACCAGUAUGGACCAAGCUUAGGUUCAGGGGGUGGAGAAAUAGACUCUUCUUCUGGAUGAGAUUGAUGUCAGGAGCUACAAAAUACUGUGGCUUUUUUUGGGUCAAUCCAUCACUCCUGUGUUUGAAAGUGUCUAAAGUGCCACAACACUAAGCAACCUCCUAGAAGGUGAAAGAGCACUGAUGUUGGUCAAGAGGCUCUGGUGCCCUUGUUGUUACCGUUUUGCUGUGGGCCCUUAGAAAAGUCGCUCACCUUCACUCCCCAUCACAAAUGCAGAAACGGAAGCACAGAAAAACUGUUCACCUCAAUAAUCUUGUAAGGUCUCAUUCAAUACUCAUUUUAUCUUUCUUUCCCAGCAGAGGAGUCAGGUUUAAAACACACAUUAUGGGAACUAAAAAUAUAGUUUCUUGUGUUGUUUUAUGGUGCUGCAGGGCACCUCCUGACCAGCCAAACUAUGAGCAAGACUCAGAGCAAACCGGGUAGGUGCCAGUGCCAAGGGCAGUGCCAGGGCAGAGCUGUGCCAGCCCAGCUGUGGCCACUUCCAUCUCCUUUCAAGUUUAACUUGGGUGAGUGGGAGGUGGGAAUCCAUUUUU